rnacentral:rRNA from 1 species
AUUGAACGCUGGCGGCAUGCCUUACACAUGCAAGUCGAACGGUAACAGGUCUUCGGAUGCUGACGAGUGGCGAACGGGUGAGUAAUACAUCGGAACGUGCCUAGUAGUGGGGGAUAACUACUCGAAAGAGUGGCUAAUACCGCAUGAGAUCUACGGAUGAAAGCAGGGGAUCGCAAGACCUUGUGCUACUAGAGCGGCCGAUGGCAGAUUAGGUAGUUGGUGGGAUAAAAGCUUACCAAGCCGACGAUCUGUAGCUGGUCUGAGAGGACGAUCAGCCACACGGGGACUGAGACACGGCCCAGACUCCUACGGGAGGCAGCAGUGGGGAAUUUUGGACAAUGGGCGAAAGCCUGAUCCAGCAAUGCCGCGUGCAGGAUGAAGGCCUUCGGGUUGUAAACUGCUUUUGUACGGAACGAAAAGCCCCGGGUUAAUACCCUGGGGUCAUGACGGUACCGUAAGAAUAAGCACCGGCUAACUACGUGCCAGCCGCCGCAAUAC